UAGGGAAUCUUCGGCAAUGGGGGCAACCCUGACCGAGCAACGCCGCGUGAGUGAAGAAGGUUUUCGGAUCGUAAAGCUCUGUUGUAAGUCAAGAACGGGUGUGAGAGUGGAAAGUUCACACUGUGACGGUAGCUUACCAGAAAGGGACGGCUAACUACGUGCCAGCAGCCGCGGUAAUACGUAGGUCCCGAGCGUUGUCCGGAUUUAUUGGGCGUAAAGCGAGCGCAGGCGGUUUGA
rnacentral:rRNA from 1 species